UCGACUGUUUAUCAAAAACAUUUUUAAUAGAAUUAUUAUUAAUAUAGCCUGCUCAAUGAAUCAUUAAAUAGCCGCAGCUCAUACUGUGCUAAGGUAGCAUAAUCAUUUGUCUUUUAAUUGAAGACUAGAAUGAACGGCCAAACAUUUAUAAAAUUAUAAAAAAAUUCAAAUUUAAACUUUUUUUUAAAGUUAAAAAACUUUAAUUAAUCAGAAAGACGACAAGACCCUAUUGAACUUCACUUCAGUUUAACUGGGGCAGUUAAUAAACUAUAUUUUUAUAUUUUACAUUUUUAAAAAAUGACCUGAUUCAAUCAAUUUCAUAAUUAAGUUACCAUAGGGAUAACAGCGUAAUAAAUUUUUAUAGAUCUUAUAUAAAAAAUAGAUUGCGACCUCGAUGUUGAAUUAUUAAUCCUAUAAAUGCAACCAUUUAUUAAGAAAGUCUGUUCGACUUUUAAUUAAUUACAUGAUUUGAGUUCAGACCGGUAUAAGCCAGGUCGGUUUCUAUCUU
rnacentral:rRNA from 1 species